CAAAGGGAAAUCCUCUGUUGUGAUGGUUGUGCAGGCCCACAGGCUAGGCCGGGGUUCUCAGUUGGAUGGGUAGUCCCAGAGCUGGUGCAGGUCCUGCCUUGGUUCUCUCCCCAGCAGGCAGCAAUGGGAUCUAGUCUGGCCAGCAGAGGUGAGGAGAGGUCACAGAGCAGAGCAUCUCUGGAGCUGUAGGAGGUGGCCUGCAGUUAUAGCGGCCAGCAAAAUUGAGGCCAUUGCUGCGGCUGGAAAUGCAGUCCCUAGUAGCCGCAUGAAGGACCUCGGCAGUGGAGUGGAGCUUGCUGGGCCGGCAGGUGGGAGUUGCAACUGCCUGCGGAGACCAGUGCACGUGGGUCCGGCACUCAGAGGAUGAGUGCUGGACUAUGAUGGAGACUCUGCACUGGGCAGCCAGCAGGAGCCGGGAGAUGGGACCCAGUGGCCGCGGGGAGGAGCCAUGCAAUGCCAGGGCUGCCGCGUUUCCUACCACCAACCAUAAAUGAGACAAAUGCAAUCCUCCCAGGACGGAUAUGAGCAGAGGGAUACGGCUAAUAGAGAUAACAAUCACAGCACAGAUACUGGAAGAUGUUGUGGAAGCUGAUUUUGCACAUCAUUAUCAUCUCUCAGGAUACAGCGACCUACAGCCCCAAAUAAAUUACAAGGUUAUUAAGGCAAUGGCUCAUUGUGUGUAUCUGGCAGCUGGGUACAUGUAUCCCAGGGUACAUUAAGCCACCUCUCACUGCACAGUAAAUAAUCUGAUAGAGAGAUGCAUCAACCGGGGCUGACACGCAAUAUGUGGCCCAAUCCGCACGGUGGAGUAUCACUGGGAGAGGGGAAGCCACUUGUGUGCUACAUUCUCCCCCGCACAGGACUUGACUGAAGACGAAUGUGUUUUCACAGCUGGGUUCAUUUCAAGUCGUCUUCGCUUUUUGC